GAUCAUGGCUCAGGAUGAACGCUAGCUACAGGCUUAACACAUGCAAGUCGAGGGGCAGCAUAGUGUUCUAGCAAUAGAAUACGGAUGGCGACCGGCGCACGGGUGAGUAACACGUAUCCAACCUGCCCACCACUUGGGGAUAACCUUGCGAAAGUAAGACUAAUACCCAAUGACAUCCCACGAAGACAUCUGAAUGGGAUUAAAGAUUUAUCGGUGAUGGAUGGGGAUGCGU
rnacentral:rRNA from 1 species